rnacentral:pre_miRNA from 1 species
AAGGUACUCCCUCCGUCUAAAAAAAAUUGUCUUAGAUUUGUCUAAAAAUGGAUGUAUCAAAAUAUUAAAACGUGACUAGGUACAUUCAUAUCUAGAAAAAUAUAAGACAAGAAUUUUGAGACGGAGGGAGUAUAAC